rnacentral:rRNA from 1 species
CCCUGGACAAGACUGACGCUCAGGUGCGAAAGCGUGGGGAGCAAACAGGAUUAGAUACCCUGGUAGUCCACGCCGUAAACGAUGUCGACUUGGAGGUUGUGCCCUUGAGGCGUGGCUUCCGGAGCUAACGCGUUAAGUCGACCGCCUGGGGAGUACGGCCGCAAGGUUAAAACUCAAAGGAA